UACGGAGGGUGCGAGCGUUGUCCGGAAUCACUGGGCGUAAAGGGCGCGUAGGCGGCGCGACAAGUCAGUGGUGAAAGCCCGAGGCUCAACUUCGGGUCGGCCACUGAUACUGUCGGGCUCGAGCACUGUAGAGGCAGGUGGAAUUCCGGGUGUAGUGGUGGAAUGCGUAGAGAUCCGGAGGAACACCAGCGGCGAAGGCGGCAUCCUGGACUGGUCCUGACACUCAGGAGCGAAAGCGUGGGGAGCGAUCCGG
rnacentral:rRNA from 1 species